rnacentral:misc_RNA from 1 species
GAUGAAGAACGUAGUGAAAUGCGAUACGUAAUGUGAAUUGCAAAUUCAGUGAAUCAUCGAGUCUUUGAACGCACAUUGCGCCCCCCGGUAUUCCGGGGGGCAUGCCUGUUCGAGCGUCAUUGUCAACCCUCAAGCUCGGCUUGCUGUUGGGUCCCCGUCGUUGCUCCAACGGCGGACCCGAAAGACAAUGGCAGAGUCUGCGGGACCCUGGAUGCAGCGAGCUUCUGGCACGCGUCCGGACGGUCUCUGGGCUUGGCCUCCACCAAUCGUCAACCUGUGAUUGACCUCGGAUCAGGUAGGGAUACCCGCUGAACUUAAGCAUAUCAAUAAGCGGAGGA